rnacentral:rRNA from 1 species
CUACGGGUGGCUGCAGGCGCGAAACCUUUACAAUGCACGAAAGUGUGAUAAGGGAACUCAAAGUGCUUAUGCAUUAGCAUAGGCUUUUGCCAAAAGUAAACUUUUUGGCGAAUAAGUGGUGGGCAAGACUGGUGCCAGCCGCCGCGGUAACACCAGCGCCACAAGUGGCAAUCAUGUUUAUUGGGCCUAAAGCGUUCGUAGCCGGUUUAAUAAAUUCACUGUGAAAUUGUAUUGCUUAACUUUACAACGUGCAGAGAAGACUGUUAAACUAGAGACCGGGAGGAGCUUGGAGUAUUCUUGGGGGAGCGGUAAAAUGUUAUAAUCCCUUGAAGACUACCUGUGGCGAAGGCGCCAAGCUAGAACGGUUCUGACGGUGAGGGACGAAAGCCAGGGGAGCGAUCCGGAUUAGAUACCCCUGUAGUC